rnacentral:rRNA from 1 species
UAAUACAGAGAGUGCGAACGUUGUUCGGAAUUACUGGGCUUAAAGCGCACGUAGGCGGCAUCGUAAGUGUCCGGUGAAAUCCCACGGCUCACCCGUGGAACUGCCUGGCAGACUGCGAUGCUCGAGUGUGGUAGGGGAGAGCGGAACUCCUGGUGGAGCGGUGAAAUGCGUAGAUAUCAGGAGGAACACCGGUGGCGAAGGCGGCUCUCUGGUCCACAACUGACGCUGAGGUGCGAAAGCUAGGGGAGCAAACGGGAUUAGAUACCCCGGUAGUCCUAGCUGUAAACGAUGGGCACUAGCUUGGGGUCUCCCUGUGUGAUCCCAGGUGAAGCAAAAGUGAUAAGUGCCCCGCCUGGGGAGUAUGGUCGCAAGGCUG